rnacentral:rRNA from 1 species
UACGAAGGGUGCAAGCGUUAAUCGGAAUUACUGGGCGUAAAGCGUGCGUAGGCGGUUUGUUAAGUCUGUUGUGAAAUCCCCGGGCUCAACCUGGGAAUGGCAAUGGAUACUGGCAAGCUAGAGUGUGUCAGAGGAUGGUGGAAUUCCCGGUGUAGCGGUGAAAUGCGUAGAGAUCUGGAGGAACACCGAUGGCGAAGGCAGCCUUCUGGGCCAACACUGACGCUCAUGCACGAAAGCGUGGGGAGCAAACAGG